rnacentral:misc_RNA from 1 species
AACGCACAUUGCGCCCAUUAGUAUUCUAUUGGGCAUGCCUGUUCGAGCGUCAUUUCAACCCUUAAGCCCCAGUUGCUUAGCGUUGGGAGCCUACGGAGACGUAGCUCCUCAAAGUCAGUGGCGGAGUCGGCUCAGCACUCUAGACGUAGUAGAAUCUUUUUAUCUCGCCUGUAGUGUGUGCCGGUCCCCUGCCGUAAAACCCCCCCAAUUUAUCAAAAGGUUGACCUCGGAUCAGGUAGGAAUACCCGCUGAACUUAA